rnacentral:rRNA from 1 species
GAUGAACGCUGACAAAUGCUUAACACAUGCAAGUCAACUUGAAUUUGGGUCUUUUGACUUAGAUUUGGGUGGCGGACGGGUGAGUAACGCGUAAAGACUGCCUCACAGUUAGGGACAACAUUUGGAAAGAAUGCUAAUACUGAUAUUAUGAAUAUAUGGCAUCAUAUAAUUAUGAAAGCUAUACGCGCUGUGAGAGAGCUUUGCGUCCCAUUAGCUAGUUGGAGAGGUAACGGCUCACCAAGGCGAUGAUGGGUAGCCGGCCUGAAGGGUGAACGGCCACAAGGGGCUGAGACACGGCCCUUACUCCUACGGGAGGCAGCAGUGGGGAAUAUUGGCAAUGGACCAAAGUUGAUCCAGCAAUUCUGUGUGCACGAUGACGUUUUUCGGAAUGUAAAGUGCUUCAGUUGGGAAGAAAAAAAACGGUACCACAGAAGAAG